UUAAAUUGAAGAGUUUGAUCAUGGCUCAGAUUGAACGCUGGCGGCAGGCCUAACACAUGCAAGUCGAGCGGAAACGAGUUAUCUGAACCUUCGGGGAACGA
rnacentral:rRNA from 1 species